CGAACGGGUGAGUAAUGCGUGACCAACCUGCCCCAUGCUCCAGAAUAGCUCUUGGAAACGGGUGGUAAUGCUGGAUGCUCCAACUUGACGCAUGUCUUGUUGGGAAAGUGUUUAGUGGCAUGGGAUGGGGUCGCGUCCUAUCAGCUUGUAGGCGGGGUAAUGGCCCACCUAGGCUUCGACGGGUAGCCGGCCUGAGAGGGCGGACGGCCACAUUGGGACUGAGAUACGGCCCAGACUCCUACGGGAGGCAGUAGCC
rnacentral:rRNA from 1 species